AUUUUGUGAGUAGGCGACAACUGUUAUUAUGGAAUUCGAUUUCUGACAAAAUUAUUACGAUAAGAUAUUACAACUAAGUAGAUAAUAUAUAAUAUUAUGUAUAUAUAAUAAUACUGCCAGGCCGUACCGUACACAGUUAGACAUAGCGUUUAUGUAAGACGUAUGUAUAGAUUUAUGAAUUUCUAUUAAUGCGUUUACAGUUGAGUACUAAAAAAUAUUUUCUUUUCAUUUCAUAACAUUUUAAAAUAAUAUUCGUGUGUAUAUCAUAGUCAAAUCUACACAAACAUGAGUCUUAUAACAUAACAACUAGUUUACACAAGACUCACACUUCUUAACUUCGCGACGAUCAAUUCGAUUUCCACGACGCUGGGAGCCAUAUGUCGUGACAACGAUGAUCAUGUCACGAUUUAGGACUAUAUCUUUCCAGCCACCUGUACAUGCAAAACGGAACAUACAUACUCAGUAACUUAACGUAUUGCAAAACGUAAAAACACUGAAAACAAUAAUUAUUUAUACUGUAUAAAUAAGUAAUACACGCCGUGAAAAAUUCAUCAAGACCUCUUCAAUACGAAGUUGCUAUUCUCGGUUAUUAGUUUUAUUAACGUAUGUAUGACUGUCUAUAACUCUAGAUGUCUUGUCCAACAAAUCAACCCACUGUAUGAUUGGUAAAAAGAAGCUUCAUACGAUAUAGUGACAUAUUAUGAGUGUGGAACUUACACGUAAUGAUAGGCGUGCAUGUAUAUUUCACACCAACGAUAAUUAACUAGUUAUUAAGCAAACAAUCACACAACUCGUACAGUCGUACUAGCAGUGUAUGGUGUAUCUACUACUCUUCGUAUUGUCGUAUAGACUAUAGAGAUCCCUUUAAAAGCAAGUCGUUUGCAGUCAAUAAUAUUUGCCGAAAAUACGAUAGACAACAAAAAAAUAGAUAUUUAAAUUCAUAGUGAAGGCUAAGGGGACGCUGCUUAGUAAUGUGGAUAAAUACGUCCACCGAAGACCGAACUGUGUUCAGACAAAAAAAAAAUGUAUACGGACUGUACGGCAAAGCCACACAGUUAAGACUGAGCAAACUCUUCCUUGGACUUCAAGUGACAGUCACCAGUAAACAUUUGUAUACAAGCGAAUACUGCUGUAAAUUCGAGGAUGUCGAAAUUGAAUGAAGCUCACGCUUGAAAUGUUAAUAAGACUUACCAUUAACACAAAAUAUAGAAGCAAUAGGCAAAUAAAAAAAAGAUCAAUCUCUAUUGGGGUCAAGGGUGAUACUCCUGCUUGGAAAGAAUCUCUAUGACUAUGAAUACAUUUUGCGAUCACGAGGGGACAUCUGAAUUGCCCUAAAAGAAGAAUUGACCUAAUUGAACUGUUUUGACUUCUCUGCAAAUUGAAACAUUUGGAGUUGGAACAUACAAUCUAUAGUAUCUAGUGAACACAAACAAUAAGCUAAGGGCGGCUACACUCUGCCAACAUUGCCUAGAACCGCCACUGCGUGUAUUGCAAGCAAUACUUUUAAUGUAAUUUCAAAUACAAACAAUAUAGGAAAAUAGUAUCAAAUGAAAUAGAAUUUUUUGUCUUGAAUUGUGCAUUUUUUGUAAUUAAUUUUAUGUUAAUAUUAUUUUAAUCUUGUAUAGUUUUAUAUCUGUAAUAAUAUAAAUUUAUUUAACAUCAAAAAUAAUGUUAAAAAUGGGUUUAUUUACAAAACACAAAAGUCAACACAGUAGAAAGUUUAGAAAGACUUGAUUAAUGCUUUAAUAGAAAUUAAGUUAAAUAUAUGUUAAGUGUCAUGAAAACAAUAUUGACAAUAUUAUAUAAAUGUAUUUUUAAGGUUAGAUAUAUAGUUAUUAAUAACUACAAACUACACCCGAGGAUCUAAUAUAUCUUAAUUAACAGUGCAUAUGUAGCAGGAAACCAUUGAGUUAUGUUGGUUAUCCAAAAGAGUAAAUGAGUAUAGUGUGAUAAGCUAGAACUUAGGAAUGUUUGGGUCAAAUAGUUAAAGCAUAGUCUAACCUAUCAAAUACAGAUAAGGAAAAGUAGACUAUUUAAUUGUAAUGAAUUGUUUGCAUUAAUUGUAUAUUCAUAACAAUUAUCUAGUGGCUGAAAGUAUGACCAUAAUAUUAGCAGUAAUGUUUGCAUAAUUUUAUAGUCAUUCAUUUCUCUCUUGACGGAAAGGAAGAUCAGUAAAAAAGUUAUACAUUUACAAUUUGGAGUAAAGAAAUAUAUUAAAAAAAGCUUAUUACAUCUUAUUCCACGACUUACAAAGUCUAAUCUUAAUAUUUAGUUAAAGCUAUUCUUUAGUUUAAGGAAACUCAAUUUUUAAGUAUAAAUUAUUAUAUA